rnacentral:rRNA from 1 species
AGCAGCCGCGGCAAUUCCAGCUCCAAUAGCGUAUAUUAAAGUUGUUGCAGUUAAAAAGCUCGUAGUUGAAUUUCGGAAUCUGUCCGUUGGUCGGGCUUCACUGUUCGUACUGGCGUGGUGGGUUCUUACCUUCUGAAUAACCAGCAUGCCAUUCACUUGGUGCGCUGGGGAAGCAGGACUAUUACCUUGAAAAAAUUAGAGUGCUCAAAGCAGGCCAGUGCCUGAAUACAUUAGCAUGGAAUAAUAAAAUAGGACGGCAUGGUUCUAUUUUGUUGGUUUCUAGGAUCACCGUAAUGAUUAAUAGGGAUAGUUGGGGGCAUUAGUAUUCAAUUGUCAGAGGUGAAAUUCUUGGAUUUAUUGAAGACUAACUUCUGCGAAAGCAUUUGCCAAGGAUGUUUUCAUUAAUCAAGAACGAAAGUUAGGGGAUCGAAGACGAUCAGAUACCGUCGUAGUCUUAACCAU